CGGGGGCCCCGCGGCUCCGUGCUGAGGGUCGGCGCCCGUGCAGCGCGAGCAGCGCGGCCGGGGCCUGCAGAAAGUUUCCGCGGCGGCAGGUGGACGGCAGGCUGGGACCUGUUGCAAUUCCUGAUCGUUCUGGCCGCGUUUCAUCAAGCAGUUGUGACUUGAGAACUGUCCCGGCCCUCGCGCCCCAUAACCACGCGGUUUCCUUGGCCUCCUUUGGCGCUUACGUCCCUUCUCGUCCCCCAGCAAGCUUCCUGCACGGCGAAACCGAGCCGCGUUUUGCGCCCCGUCGGGCGGCGGAAGGGUUAAGUCCCGCUGCGCUGAGCGUUUCGGCGCUCGUUGGCUGCCGGCCCAGCGCUCUCGGUGCCGUAUUGCAUCAGAGCGGGCAGGAGCACCUCGCUGCGCUCCCCCUCUGCGCGCUGUACUUGGAGCGCUUCGCCGUUUCCCACGGCAUGUUAAUUUUUUCCCUCCGUGGUCUCCAGGAUUCCUUCUCACGGGUUUCUUGGAGGAUGUUCUGCCCCGCUCCUCCCACCCAGGUUGAGGGCAGGGCGCCGCUCCGCUCUGCCCUACGCCGGGCGCCUGGAGCCCAUCUUUGCACCUCCGGCACACGGCGAGCCCUCGGUGCCGAAACGCUCCCCGCUCGGUGUCGAAACGUCGCCGCAGAGCAGUCCCGUGCGUUGCCCAGCGAGGUUCCCAUAAGAACGCCACAAAAGACACUGAAGGAAAGCACUGUGGGCAUCACAUUCACAUCUGAUUUAACCAGCGACUCUCCCCAUCCUUCAAUCCUGAGCUGAAUACAAAAAGGACAACAGCUUUCCAGGUAGAGCGAUGUGAUAAAACAGGUGAUUUCUAAAAGCAAGUAAAGAACCCUAAAUUGUUGCCGCUCACCUUGGUAUUCAAAACUCAAAACCUCCACUCAAGAUCUCCUAAGAUGCAAAGUGAUCUUUACCACAGUUGUACAAGACAGAUCCCUGGCUGUUCCUGUGGCACCGUACAUCCUGUGCCAUCUCAGGAGCUGGCUUGGGGCAAUCCGAACUGAUCAGAACGAUGCUGCGAAGAAGGGUGGACAAGCUGCAGUGAACG
ensembl:lncRNA